UUACGGUCAAAUCACGUUGAAAACACCGGUUCUCGUUCGAGCAUCGUAGAGCCAGGUCAGUACUUAGAUGGGUGACCGCUUGGGAACACCUUGUACUGUAAGC